AGCAUUGCCCAAGUCAUCUCUCUCAGAGGUUCCAAUCAAAUUGAGAUAAUGGAUGCAAAAGGAGAGAAUUCACUAGCAUUGUUUCCAUCUAAGUUUCGUGAGAGAAAAUAUUUGCAGGUUUAUGAUAUUUCUUCUAGUUAUGGUACAUUGACUACGAGGUUUCUAUUUUUAUAUCUUUGUUUAGUGAUGAGUAUUUGUUGAUAUUCGUUCUAUAACUGAUAACUGAAGCUAUUCCUUCAUUUCUCAGAUUCUUCAUGAUGCAUUCGUUCUCCCCCAUGGCUAAUUAAGAUGCAGAGUUUAAAGGAUGAUGAGUUUAAAGGAUGAAGAGUUUAAACGAUGAAGGUGUGCCAUUCAA